rnacentral:lncRNA from 1 species
GAUGAUUCAGGCAGGAAGUGACAUGGCAAGGAGACUCAUAUCUAAGCAAGGAAACAGGAAGUAUGCCUUUUUCCCCCCCUGCUCCUUCUCCAGCAGCAAGAUGUGAUCCCAGCAAGGAGGGACGCCAAUAAGAGCCCUCAUCCAGUGACUGAUGGAAGCAGAGGCAGACAUCCACAGAUAUACACUGAACUCUGGAACUUAGUUGCAGAGCGGGAGGAAUGAAGAUCGAAGGGGUUGGUACCAGGCUGGUGAAACCCACAGUACCAGCUAGCCUGAACAAGGGGGAACACAUGGACUCCAGAUGCUGUCUGGGAGAGCAGCACAGGACUGAUCCAGACCCCUGAACAUGGAUGCCAAUGAGGAGGCAUCUGCACCCUAAGGGGCCCCUGGUAGUGGUUUAGGAUUUUUCCCUGGUGUAAGAAGGGACUUUGAGAGCCCAUCCCAUGUGAAUGGAUGCACUCUUGCCCUGGGCACAUAGGGAAGGGCCAAGGCCCAGCCUAGGAUGAUGUGGUGGACUUUGCUGAGCCCCCCAUUGAGGGCCCUACCCUGCAUGGGGAGUGGAGAGUGGAUGGGUUUGGGGGGUAGGUCGGGGGGUGGGGGAGGAGGGUGCGGGUGAGGGGAGGGAGAGGGAGAACGGAUUGACAUGUGAAACAAACUUGUUCCUAAUUUGAACUAAU